ensembl:lncRNA SLC16A1-AS1 SLC16A1 antisense RNA 1
GUCCUCUGCUGCCCGAAACAAGCGCGUGGAAAGCUUGGUCGGGGCUUCUCACAGCCGCGCGCACAGACUGGUUCUCCCCCCGCGUCUCCCGGGAGCGUCGCCGCCACCUGCACGCGUCCGGCACACAAACGUCGGUCUCACCCCUUAGUUUCUGGAAGAGAAAAAGGAAAAGCCACCGAGAGGCCUGACCCUGAGGGGUCGGGGGGAGAUGCGGGCGCGUAGUAGAGGGAAGCGACUGAGGAGCGGGGACUGGGCAGCAUUUGAAUGGAUGCGGGUGCCGCUGGCACCCGGGAAGACGCCUGGGAGCCGGCGCUGGGGAGCCGGGCAUGGGCUGGGAUGUGUUUGGAUUCCAAUCUGGGCCUGACACCAGUUCAGUGACCUCGGGAAGUUCCCCAACCCUGCGGGCCUGUUUCCUCCCUCUGAAGUGGCGACAGUAAUAGAACCGACCUCGUAGGCUCAUCGGGAGGUCCUGAUGGGAGAACCCAUGCAACUUGCCACCACAGAGCCAGGCCCGCGGCGACUGGCUCCUGGUUGAUAGACUGGAUGCUGCUAUGGUAAUCUGCCUCAGGAAAAUGCCGGACUGUUGUUUGCAAGCUGGUUAAGUGAGCAAAUCUUGGGAAGAUUUCAAGGAAACUCCCAAGCAUUCUGGAAGCUCUGCAUGUGAGUAAGAACCACUGCUGUUGCUGUUGCUGUAGCUGCCUGAAUCUAUGGCAAAAAGCCAGGAAAAAAAAAUUGCUUCACACCAUGUGCACCGACUCCCCUGGAGCUGGCACCACCAGGGCGUCUGCAGAGCUAUGUCUGACAGUCCUGCCAUUUCCUAACUUCUCCUGUGUGGUCAUCCACCUACCUUUGGGAACCUCCAGUCAUUACUCACAGAGUUGGUCUCAUCCUGGGAACUCUCUCUUGCCUCUCCCAGUGGUUCAUUCUCCAAGUCUGAGUUAUUUGGUCAAAAAAA